GCUGGCGGCACGCCUAACACAUGCAAGUCGAACGAAGUAGCAAUACUUAGUGGCAGACGGGUGAGUAACAUGUAGGUAUCUGCCCUUUGGCCUGGAAUAACACGAGGAAACUUGUGCUAAUACCGGAUAAGUCUUUACGGAGAAAGCUUUAUGCACCAUUGGAUGAGCCUGCACUUGAUUAGUUUGUUGGUGGGGUAAUGGCCUACCAAGACUGUGAUCAAUAGCUGAUUUGAGAGGAUGAUCAGCCACAUUGGAACUGAGACACGGCCCAAACUCCUACGGGAGGCAGCAGUGGGGAAUCUUGCACAAUGGAGGAAACUCUGAUGCAGCGAUGCCGCGUGAGUGAAGAAGGCCCUUGGGUUGUAAAGCUCUUUCGUCGGGGAAGAAAAUGACUGUACCCGAAUAAGAAGGUCCGGCUAACUUCGUGCCAGCAGCCGCGGUAAUACGAAGGGACCUAGCGUAGUUCGGAAUUACUGGGCCUAAAGAGUUCGUAGGUGGUUGAAAAAGUUAGUGGUGAAAUCCCAGAGCUUAACUCUGGAACUGCCAUUAAAACUUUUCAGCUAGAGUAUGAUAGAGGAAAGCAGAAUUUCUAGUGUAGAGGUGAAAUUCGUAGAUAUUAGAAAGAAUACCAAUUGCGAAGGCAGCUUUCUGGAUCAUUACUGACACUGAGGAACGAAAGCAUGGGUAGCGAAGAGGAUUAGAUACCCUCGUAGUCCAUGCCGUAA
rnacentral:rRNA from 1 species